rnacentral:rRNA from 1 species
UGGGGAAUUUUCCACAAUGGGCGAAAGCCUGAUGGAGCAACGCCGCGUGUGUGAUGAAGGGUUUCGGCUCGUAAAACACUGUUGUAAGAGAAGAAUGACAUUGAGAGUAACUGUUCAAUGUGUGACGGUAUCUUACCAGAAAGGAACGGCUAAAUACGUGCCAC